GGGGAAUAUCACACAAUGGGCGAAAGCCAGAUGCAUCAAAGCCACGCGAGUGAUGAAUGACUGCGGGUCGUAAAACCCUCUCCUCAAGGAAGAUAAUGACGGUACUUGAGGAGGAAGCCCCGGCCAACUAAGUGCCAGAAGCCGCGGUAAUACGUAGGAGGCUAGCGUUAUCCGGAUUUACUGGGCGUAAAGGGUGCGUAGGCGGUCUUUCAAG
rnacentral:rRNA from 1 species